rnacentral:rRNA from 1 species
AUUCCAGCUCCAAUAGCGUAUAUUAAAGUUGUUGUGGUUAAAAAGCUCGUAGUUGGAUCUCAACAGCCUUGAAGCGGUUAACUUUGUAGUUUUACUGCUUUAUAGGCUGUGCUUUUGCUGGAGGUUUAGGGGUGCUCUUGAUCGAGUGUCUCUGGAUGCCAGCAGGUUUACUUUGAAAAAAUUAGAGUGCUCAAAGCAGGCUAAAAUGCCUGAAUAUUCGUGCAUGGAAUAAUAGAAUAGGAUGUCGAUCCUAUUUUGUUGGUUUCUAGAGCUGAGGUAAUGAUUAAUAGGGAUAGUUGGGGGCAUUCGUAUUUAACUGUCAGAGGCGAAAUUCUUGGAUUUGUUAAAGACGGACUACUGCGAAAGCAUUUGCCAAGGAUGUUUUCAUUA